CAACAACAAACAAGAAC
rnacentral:sRNA from 1 species